rnacentral:rRNA from 1 species
CGGUGUUCAACUGGCGUGCCCGCGGGACGUCCUGCCGGUGAGCUCAGCCCGCGAGGGCGGCUCAACUUGAAAUCCCAUCGCGGUGCUCUUCAUUGAGUGUCGAGGUGGGCCGGCACGAUUACUUUUGAACAAAUUAGAGUGCUUAAAGCAGGCUAAAAUUUUGCCUGAAUACUGUGUAUAUGGAAUAAUGGAAUAGGACCUCGGUUCUAUUUUGUUGGUUUUCGGAACCCCGAGGUAAUGAUUAAUAGGAACGGAUGGGGACAUUCGUAUUGCGACGUUAGAGGUGAAAUUCUUGGAUCGUCGCAAGACGGACUAAAGCGAAAGCAUUUGCCAAAAACGCUUUCAUUGAUCAAGAACGAAAGUUAGAGGUUCGAAGGCGAUCAGAUACCGCCCUAGUUCUAACCAUAAACUAUGCCAGCUAGCGAUCCGCCGACGUCCCUCUGAUGACUCGGCGGGCAGCUUCCGGGAAACCAAAGCUUUUGGGUUCCGGGGGAAGUAUGGUUGCAAAGCUGAAACUUAAAGGAAUUGACGGAAGGGCACCACCAGGAGUGGAGCCUGCGGCUUAAUUUGACUCAACACGGGAAACCUCACCAGGCCCAGACACUGGAAGGAUUGACAGAUUGAGAGCUCUUUCUUGAUUCAGUGGGUGGUGGUGCAUGGCCGUUCUUAGUCGGUGGAGCGAUUUGUCAGGUUAGUUCCGAUAACGGACGAGACUCUGACCUGAUAACUAGACGCACUUGCGGCAUCUCAAAGGUCCGCCGGCGGCUGGCUUUGCGCCCGUCGUCGCGCGCGAUUUUUACUGCCGGCGUACAAUAAAUUCUUCUUAGAGGGACAAGUGG